rnacentral:snRNA from 1 species
GUGCUUGCUUCGGCAGCACAUAUACUAAAAUUGGAACGAUACAGAGAAAAUUAGCAGGGCCCCAGGGCAAGGAUGACAUGGAAAUUUGUGAUGUGUUCCAUAUCUUU